GUUUACUUUGUGUCCAUCAUUCAUUACCUGUGUGUUGCAGGACAGGAUCCUCCCAGAGUGUGUCUGUAUGUUUCAGGUAAGAAACUUUACUUUCUUUUAGUAGUUACAUGGUCUGACAGGAGUGUUUUAUUAACUGUUUAUGUGCCAAAAGGGUGUUACCGUAACUGUAUGUGUGCCAGAUGGUUGCAAUAGUUAACUGUGUGUGUGCCAGAGAGGCAGACACUAAGCUAUUAACUGUUUGUGUGCCAGGAAGAAGUGAAGUUUUAACUGUUUGUUUGCCAGGAGUGGAG